GAUUUUGGAACGUGUGCAAAGAGACC
rnacentral:piRNA from 1 species